ACUCAGACCAGCAACCAAAAUCGUCAACUCCUUCAUGGCGCAGAUAUGAAUGUUAGAGUCUGUUAAUAUGAUCAAGGUGAUGUAAUCUCAGAUGGAAAUGAUCUGACUAUGGUAGAUGUGGAAAAUUGAGGCAGAGUUGACAACCCUAACCAUCUCCCCACUGUUGAAUCACAAAUGAGUACUGCGGAUCAGGUAGAGAUAGAUCACAUUGGCAACUGCCAGAAGAAGGAUUUGUUAAAAUUAAUUUUGAUGGUUCAUAUGUCAAGGAAAAUAAACAUAUGGGUAUUGGUCUGACUACGUUCUCUGCAACAAGGUCAUGUGGAGGUGCAGUUGCAGCAGCUGGGAUUGCCCGAGAUGAGGAGCAGGCGGAAGCUCUUUCUGCAUUGGAAGGAAUAAAAAUAGCGCAAGGAGAUAAUGUUCAAUGCCUGCACUUGGAAGGAGACAACUCAAAUGUGGUGAAAGCUAUUAGUGGGGCCACUGGCUCUGUAAAAUGGACAAAUAAUAAUAUUAUCAGUGAUUGUAAAACUCUAUUAAUGAAUUUUCAGUCUUGGAAGUGCACAUAUGUGCGUAGAGAGUCGAAUGAGGUUGCUAAUUGUCUGGCCAAAAAAUUCAGAGCAACUAGAACAAACUCAAGUAUGUUUUCCUCUU